GGUCCCGUAGUGGAGCGGUUUAACACGCCUUGCCUGUCACGCAGGAGAUCGCGGGUUCGAUUCCCGUCGGGACCG
rnacentral:tRNA from 1 species